rnacentral:rRNA from 1 species
UACGUAGGGUGCGAGCGUUGCCCGGAUUUAUUGGGCGUAAAGGGCGCGUAGGUGGUUCUGUGUGCUCCGCGUGAAAUCGCCCGGCUCAACCGGGCGGGGUCGCGGAUGACUACAGGACUGGAGCCUGGGAGGGGGAAGCGGAAUUCCCGGUGUAGUGGUGGAAUGCGUAGAUAUCAGGAGGAACACCGGUGGCGAAGGCGGUUCUCUGGGCAUGAUCUGACGCUGAGGAGCGAAAGUGUGGGGAGCGAACAGG